rnacentral:rRNA from 1 species
UACGAAGGGGGCUAGCGUUGUUCGGAAUUACUGGGCGUAAAGCGCACGUAGGCGGCUUGGCAGGUCGGAUGUGAAAUCCCUCGGCUCAACCAAGGAAGUGCAUCCGAAACUGCUGAGCUUGAGUACGAAAGAGGAUCGCGGAAUUCCCGGUGUAGAGGUGAAAUUCGUAGAUAUCGGGAGGAACACCAGUGGCGAAGGCGGCGAUCUGGGUCGAUACUGACGCUGAGGUGCGAAAGCGUGGGGAGCAAACAGG